rnacentral:rRNA from 1 species
GUGGGGAAUAUUGGACAAUGGGCGAAAGCCUGAUCCAGCCAUGCCGCGUGUGUGAAGAAGGUCUUCGGAUUGUAAAGCACUUUAAGUUGGGAGGAAGGGCAGUAAGUUAAUACCUUGCUGUUUUGACGUUACCGACAGAAUAAGCACCGGCUAACUUCGUGCCAGCAGCCGCGGUAAUACGAAGGGUGCAAGCGUUAAUCGGAAUUACUGGGCGUAAAGCGCGCGUAGGUGGUUUUGUAAGUUGGAGGUGAAAUCCCCGGGCUGAACCUGGGAACUGACUCCAAAACUGCAUGACUAGAGUACGGUAGAGGGUAGUGGAAUUUCCUGUGUAGCGGUGAAAUGCGUAGAUAUAGGAAGGAACACCAGUGGGGAAGGCGACUACCUGGACUGAUACUGACACUGAGGUGCGAAAGCGUGGGGAGCAAACAGGAUUAGAAACCCCUGUAGUCC